UACGUAGGGUGCAAGCGUUGUCCGGAAUUAUUGGGCGUAAAGAGCUCGUAGGCGGUUUGUCGCGUCUGCUGUGAAAACUCGGGGCUUAACUCCGGGCCUGCAGUGGGUACGGGCAGACUAGAGUGCGGUAGGGGAGACUGGAAUUCCUGGUGUAGCGGUGAAAUGCGCAGAUAUCAGGAGGAACACCGAUUGCGAAGGCAGCUCGCUGGGACGUUACUGACGCUGAGACGCGAAAGCGUGGGGAGCAAACAGG
rnacentral:rRNA from 1 species